AGUCGAGCGAACAGACGAGGAGCUUGCUCCUCUGACGUUAGCGGCGACGGGUGAGUAACACGUGGAUAACCUACCUAUAAGACUGGGAUAACUUCGGGAAACCGGAGCUAAUACCGGAUAAUAUAUUGAACCGCAUGGUUCAAUAGUGAAAGACGGUUUUGCUGUCACUUAUAGAUGGAUCCGCGCCGCAUUAGCUAGUUGGUAAGGUAACGGCUUACCAAGGCAACGAUGCGUAGCCGACCUGAGAGGGUGAUCGGCCACACUGGAACUGAGACACGGUCCAGACUCCUACGGGAGGCAGCAGUAGGGAAUCUUCCGCAAUGGGCGAAAGCCUGACGGAGCAACGCCGCGUGAGUGAUGAAGGUCUUCGGAUCGUAAAACUCUGUUAUUAGGGAAGAACAAAUGUGUAAGUAACUAUGCACGUCUUGACGGUACCUAAUCAGAAAGCCACGGCUAACUACGUGCCAGCAGCCGCGGUAAUACGUAGGUGGCAAGCGUUAUCCGGAAUUAUUGGGCGUAAAGCGCGCGUAGGCGGUUUUUUAAGUCUGAUGUGAAAGCCCACGGCUCAACCGUGGAGGGUCAUUGGAAACUGGAAAACUUGAGUGCAGAAGAGGAAAGUGGAAUUCCAUGUGUAGCGGUGAAAUGCGCAGAGAUAUGGAGGAACACCAGUGGCGAAGGC
rnacentral:rRNA from 1 species